rnacentral:rRNA from 1 species
GACGAACCACACAAACGUUAUUCGGAAUUACUGGGCUUAAAGGGUGCGUAGGCGGCGCGGAAAGUUGGUGUGAAAUCCCUCGGCUCAACCGAGGAACUGCGCUCAAUACUACCGUGCUCGAGGGAGACAGAGGUGAGCGGAACUUAGGGUGGAGCGGUGAAAUGCGUUGAUAUCCUAAGGAACACCCGUGGCGAAAAGCGGCUCACUGGGUCCUCUUCUGACGCUGAG